rnacentral:rRNA from 1 species
GAUGAACGCUGGCGGCAUGCCUAAUACAUGCAAGUCGAACGAAAGGCUUCGGCCUUUAGUGGCAAACGGGUGAGUAACGCGUAGGCAACCUGCCCUUCAGAUGGGGACAACACCUCGAAAGGGGUGCUAAUACCGAAUGACGUUUCCUAGUCGCAUGACCUGGAACCAAAGGCCGGGCAACCGGUCACUGAAGGAUGGGCCUGCGUCUGAUUAGCUAGUUGGUGGGGUAACGCUCACCAAGGCGACGAUCAGUAGCCGGUCUGAGAGGAUGAACGGCCACAUUGGGACUGAGACACGGCCAAACUCCUACGGGAGGCAGCAGUGGGGAAUCUUCCGCAAUGGGCGCAAGCCUGACGGAGC